rnacentral:rRNA from 1 species
GACGAACGCUGGCGGCGUGCUUAACACAUGCAAGUCGAACGGAAAGGCCCUGCUUUUGUGGGGUGCUCGAGUGGCGAACGGGUGAGUAACACGGGAGUAACCUGCCCUUGACUUUGGGAUAACUUCAGGAAACUGGGGCUAAUACCGGAUAGGAGCUCCUGCUGCUUGGUGGGGGUUGGAAAGUUUCGGCGGUUGGGGAUGGACUCGCGGCUUAUCAGCUUGUUGGUGGGGUAGUGGAUUACCAAGGCUUUGACUGGUAGCCGGCCUGAGAGGGUGACCGGCCACAUUGGGACUGAGAUACGGCCCAGACUCCUACGGGAGGCAGCAGUGGGGAAUUUUGCACACUGGGCGGAAGCAUGAUGCAGCAACGCCGCGUGCGGGAUGACGGCUUUCGGGUUGUAAACCGCGUUCGCCUGUGACGAAGAGUGAGUGACGGUAAUGGGUAAAGAAGCACCGGCUAACUACGUG